CAGCCUAAGUGAUAAUGAUUCUUCCUGUCUCUUCUCUGAGAUUUGCUAUGAAGAGGCUUGUAUUUUUAUUCCUCUGAUCAGACUG